rnacentral:miRNA from 1 species
AUACAAAUUACUUGGAAAUCUUUUUAAAAUGCAGAUCUGACUCAAUGGGUUCAGGGUGGGGUCUGAGCUUCUGCAUUUCUAACAAGCUCCCAAGUGAUCCUGAU